ACUGUAGGAAUAUAUCCUCGCCACCCGGGAGGACGUCAGAAUCCAGAUCCCUGCAGUCACACAGCAGGGCUGCGUACUGCCGCUGAAGACUCAAAGAAAACUGCUAUGGCACCGACGAGCCUCCGUAUAAAUACAACAGCUAGCACUGAAAGGCCCCACCGACCUGCUCACAGAAGUCCCACACGCCAACCAUGACCUGCAGCUCCCGGCAGCAGACCUCGGCCCUGGCCAGGAAGCUCUCCAGGCCGGCUCGGAAGGUCUGGACCAGGGCGCCGAACACCUGGGCCUCAGGGUAGGACAGCCCGCAGCCCUGGAGCCUCUCUGCCUCCGACACCAGGGCCGCGGCGUGGUGCUUACGGUCCUGCCAGGGUCCAGAGAGCCGUCGGCAGGUUCAGAGAGAGAAAGAGUUUUAUUUAGCUCAAAAUUAUUUCAUUCAUGAUUCGAUUCAUAUCAGAGGAGAGUACAGUACACAUUCUAUAUGAUGUUUUACAUUGUUAACAUGUUAUAUUUUAUUAUUCAUUAUUAAUUAGUAUUUUUUAAAUGAAUUAUUUCCCUUAAUAGUACUGUAUAGUGUCAUUCCCCCUGAACCUAUGCCACUAAAGCCAUUUAUA